GAUUCGGGAAAUUUUAUGUUUCUUUGCCAUUUUUUUUGGAGUUUAGUUGGAAAAAGAGUGAGAGUCGCUGGAGGCAGCGGUUCAUCGAUCUCUUCCUGGGAACGAAUAUAUAAAUAUUGAAAAAGCAUGAAUAGAUCGAUAAACCUCUGCAUCCAGCGUUUGCCUCUUUAUCUUUGUUAUUGGCUUCAAUUUUUUUGGUUUUUGAAAAAAGUGAGGGAAAACAGAGUC
rnacentral:pre_miRNA from 1 species